UCUUCCGCAAUGGACGAAAGUCUGACGGAGCAACGCCGCGUGAGUGAUGAAGGUUUUCGGAUCGUAAAACUCUGUUGUUAGGGAAGAACACGUACCGUUCGAAUAGGGCGGUACCUUGACGGUACCUAAACAGCAAGCCACGGCUAACUACGUUCCAGCAGCCGCGGUAAUAAGUAGGUGGCCGGCGUUGUCCGGAAUUAUUGGGCGUAAAGCGCGCGCAGGCGGUUUCUUAAGUCUGAUGUGAAAGCCCCCGGCUCAACCGGGGAGGGUCAUUGGAAACUGGGGAACUUGAGUGCAGAAGAGGAGGGUGGAAUUCCACGUGUAGCGGUGAAAUGCGUAGAGAUGUGGAGGAACACCAGUGGCGAAGGCGACUCUCUGGUCUGUAACUGACGCUGAGGCGCGAAAGCGUGGGGAGCGAACAG
rnacentral:rRNA from 1 species